rnacentral:misc_RNA from 1 species
UUUCCGUAGGUGAACCUGCGGAAGGAUCAUUAGUGAAUUUAAUAUGUUAGCGGACCUCUUCCGAGCCCCUAGCAUCAAAUCAUAUCCAUAACACCUGUGAUCUGUAAGACUGUCUUGAAAACGAAAGUGAUUAGAGCGCCUGCCCAUUUUAUACAAACAGUGAAGUAACAAACGUAGAAUUAUUAUAAUCUAAUAAAACUUUCAACAACGGAUCUCUUGGCUCUC